rnacentral:rRNA from 1 species
GGGGGGAGCAAGCGUUGUUCGGAUUUACUGGGCGUAAAGGGCGCGUAGGCGGUCAGCACAAGUCAGUUGUGAAAUCUCCGGGCUUAACUCGGAAAGGUCAACUGAUACUGUGCGACUAGAGUGCGGAAGGGGCAACUGGAAUUCUCGGUGUAGCGGUGAAAUGCGUAGAUAUCGAGAGGAACACCUGCGGCGAAGGCGGGUUGCUGGGCCGACACUGACGCUGAGGCGCGAAAGCCAGGGGAGCGAACGGGAUUAGAUACCCCGGUAGUCCUGGCCUUAAACGAUGGAUGCUUGGUGUCUGGAGUUUUAUAGUCUCCGGGUGCCGCAGCUAACGCGUUAAGCAUCCCGCCUGGGGAGUACGGUCACAAGACUG